AUACCUUUAUCGGCCUUUUGGCUAAGAUCAAGUGUAGUAUACGUGGUUCAUAGAACCACAUGAUAUUAAAUGUAUUUUUAUAGGGGAGGGUCCACUCACAAUAGAUUGCUAUUGGGGCUCUUGGGAGUCGAUUGUGCAUUGCACUAUAGCACCAUCCUGGCGCACCCCAA
rnacentral:snRNA from 1 species